rnacentral:rRNA from 1 species
AGAGUUUGAUCCUGGCUCAGAAUCAACGCUGGCGGCGUGCCUAACACAUGCAAGUCGAACGAGAAAGUGGAGCAAUCCAUGAGUAAAGUGGCGACCGGGUGAGUAACACGUGACUAACCUACCCUCGAGUGUGGAAUAACAUCGGGAAACCGAUGCUAAUACCGCAUAAUAUCGCAAGAUCAAAGCAGCAAUGCGCUUGAGGAGGGGGUCGCGGCUGAUUAGCUAGUUGGCGGGGUAACGGCCCACCAAGGCGAAGAUCGGUAGCCGGCCUGAGAGGGCGCACGGCCACACUGGAACUGAAACACGGUCCAGACUCCUACGGGAGGCAGCAGUGGGGAAUUUUGCGCAAUGGGGGAAACCCUGACGCAGCAACGCCGCGUGGAGGAUGAAGUCCCUUGGGACGUAAACUCC